AGCGUAGACGGCAAUGCAAGUCUGAAGUGAAAGGCCGGGGCUCAACCCCGGGACUGCUUUGGAAACUGUGUAGCUGGAGUACAGGAGAGGUAAGUGGAAUUCCUAGUGUAGCGGUGAAAUGCGUAGAUAUUAGGAGGAACACCAGUGGCGAAGGCGGCUUACUGGACUGUAACUGACGUUGAGGCUCGAAAGCGUGGGGAGCAAACA
rnacentral:rRNA from 1 species